AGGCUGCAGUGAAUUCUACAAAGAGGCUAUGGGAAAGAAACCUGGAAAGUACCCUUGGCUGUGUACAUUUGAGUAAAGAGAGCACUAUAAAAUCAAAAACCAAUGAAAUGGUUUCCAGAACACAGAACUAUUAAGCUUAAGAAAAGGACAGAAGGAACUGAAGAGAGAGGAACUGUUUUGGAGCAUCACACUUCCACCUCAGAAGAAAUAAGGAAGGAAGGAGGAGGGUGUUCCCACGGCUCUUCAACCAGGCCGGCUCUUCAGCCUACAUCCCCAUCUCAUCAAGUAAAAGGGAUUUUUCAACUGGACCAACCAGAUGGUUUAACAGUGCACUCCCACACCAUUCAACUACGCAAGGGAGAUACACUUAACAUAUGCAGUCGUAUAACACCUACUAACAUUUUCAAACAUUAAACCUUUAAAAAAGAGUUCUAAAGAAAUAGAAGCUUGAAGUAUCAUCUCUCAAGUAUAUAGACACUACUUCAUGGUGUGGUAAUAUAUGCAUAUAGAAGCUAGUAAACACCUCCAGGAGAUGCAAAAGGAAUUAGAACUGCCACAAGGUGCAAGCAAAACCUUGAGGUGAGAAAAUCGAAUUUGGACACCGUUGAGGAGACUAUUGCAGUCAUCCAAGCUCAAGAUGGUGGAGCUUCAUCCUUGAGAAUAACCAAUGGGGAUAGAUUUAAGAGACACUUAGAGUCUGCAGCCAACAGGGCUGAAUGAGCAGAGAGUUAUGAUUCAGAAGAUCAUCUAAAAUUGAACAGCUGCCACUACUGGCAAUAAGUCUACUGCCAUUUGGUAGAUAACCUUCUUAUCACACAGAAAAAUAUCAGUACAGACAAAUAGACCGCAAAGAAAAUGAGACCAUCAGCAAAGAAGAUAAAGAAGUUUGUACAAAGCAACUUUUUAUAAAUGGAUGGCUGUCAGGCAAAAAUAAAUUUCCUGUGGACAAGACCAAGAGCAAGGCAAGAGGAAAAUAAACAUGUUUAAACUAUUGGAGAGUCCAUAAUU
rnacentral:lncRNA from 1 species